CUGGAAUGAUUUUAAUCUUAACGCUUACUCAAUACCCCAACAUGAAGUGUAACUACAGAUGGUAACCGCUUCGAAAGGACCAGAUAAUUGGGUGACUUUACGCAGUGGCGCAAAAUUAAAGCAGUCGGUGAUGUUGCGAAAGUGUGCUCUUAGUGGAACACAGCGACGCGACACGGAGAUUGUUCCAAACAUUGCAGUGCGAGAGAGACGCUGCGAGUGCAGUCCGCAGCGCACUCCGCACUCCGGCCCACGUGCCCACCGAUAAUGUUGUUGCACUCCCAACAAGCAAAAUCAGUACUUUAAACGUUCUUUAAGAGCAUUUUAUUUUCACUUAUAAGAAUCUUGUAGCAUGCUACAAAGUUGAAUUUGGGCGCAGUUAUACGAGCAUUUAGUUCUAUAACUAUCUUAUAAUCAUCUUAUACAAUGUUAUUAAGCCUUAUAAUAUACUUGACGAAGCUCAAUAGCGCCUUUAAUGAUAUGAGACUAAACAAUUACAAGUGCAAACACUCUUGUUAGUAUCUGACGUAAGUAUUUUAUUAGAGCAAUCUUGUUUAUAAAGCACUUGUAAUGGUCUUAGAAAAUAGUUUUAAGUAUAUUUUAAUACAAGUUAUUUUCGUUGUUGCUUUGACUGGUCGUGCCGGAUUUUUUGUGUUACCACGCACGUAAAAACGUAAGUAAACUUACUAUUACUAUUAUUACUUGUAGUACUUUAAAACAUCGGUAAUAUAUUGUAAAUAUAGUGUGUGAACUCGUGGGGAAGUAAUAUUUACUGUAAAUAUGUAUCGAAAUUUAGUUAAUUUCACGGGGCCCUUCGAAAAUUCCACAUUAGUAUAAUGUUGCGAAUAAAUUAUUUCAUAAAUUCUUAUGCAUAUCGGCCAUGUUUUAAAAUUGCUCUUGAUUAAGUCCUUUAUGGAACCAUUAUAGGUAAACUAGUACUUGUAGCAGUUUCUGUCCAGACUACUCGCCUCCAUUUUAAAACAAAUUAGGGUUCCCUUGAAGUAAAUUAAAGUCAGCUAGCUAAUGAUUGAUUUUCCUUUUUAGGAUUUAAUCAACAAGAUGGUGGUCAUUUUUGAUGUUGACUGUUUUUUGACCAAAUCGUCAUUGAUUUUACUAAAUCAUGUGAGAUGGCCUUGGACAAACACACAUUUUGUGUUAUCCGAAAGCUGCAAUGGGUGUGGAUUUCCAGUUUAUUUAAACAAUAUGGAUAGACCUACUCACUUCAUUUCUAAUCAAGAAAAUCUAAAACUUUUCAUGCAUCAAAGCUUUUUUUGGUGCCCGAAUUGCUCCCAGUACAGCAUAUAUGACCAUUACAUAGAAGAUGAAUGCACAAAUUGCUACUGAUUUUGUAUCCACAUAACUUUUACACACGCAAAAGUACUUAACUAAUUUUAGAAUAGUGCUAUCCAAUAAAAUAAUAAUAAAAAAAACAUUAUACGGCUGGGCAACCGAAAUAACAAGAAAUUCCUUCCCGCGCCACCCUGUUUGACAAAUAUUUUGAAGCUGCAGUACGGGCGCCAGAGGUGCGGGGGGCGGUUGCAUGUCGAACCAGUAGCUGUCUAGCAGUAGUAGCACCUGAGUUGUCAGGAAGAGCGCGUGUGCUUAAUGUUCAAAAUGCCAUUUAAAAUUGUUCAGACCAUUGAAAAGGGUAACAUUGUAUUGACAUGUGUACCACAUCAAUGGGAGAGCGAUGGAGUUUUGUAUUGGCCCAGAAAACAAACCCAGUCACAGACGAGUAAGUUACAAAAGGAUGAAGGUAGUUGGCCCGAUGAAUCUUGG